rnacentral:rRNA from 1 species
GACGAACGCUGGCGGCGUGCUUAACACAUGCAAGUCGAACGGAAAGGCCCUGCUUUUGUGGGGUGCUCGAGUGGCGAACGGGUGAGUAACACGUGAGUAACCUGCCCUUGACUUUGGGAUAACUUCAGGAAAUGGGGCUUAUUACCGGUAGGAGCCUCUUGCUCAAGGGUGGGGGUUGAAAGUUUCGGCGGUUUGGGGUGGACUCGCGGCUUAUCAGCUUGUUGGUGGGGUAGUGGCUUACCAAGGCUUUGACGGGUAGCCGGCCUGAGAGGGUGACCGGCCACAUUGGGACUGAGAUACGGCCCAGACUCCUACGGGAGGCAGCAGUGGGGAAUAUUGCACAAUGGGCGGAAGCCUGAUGCAGCAACGCCGCGUGCGGGAUGACGGCCUUCGGGUUGUAAACCGCUUUCGCCUGUGACGAAGCGUGAGUGACGGUAAUGGGUAAAGAAGCACCGGCUAACUACGUG